UGAUAGCUAUGAAGCGUGAGGUUGCUAUUAUGGCGAAAGCUGUAAUAGGUUUUCCGUGGAGCGAAUGUCAGAUAAUAUGACGGCAA
ncrna:Lachnospiraceae bacterium NC2008 S10-Clostridia ribosomal protein leader